AGUGUUCUGGCAUCUCGUCGAUAUCGAUGAUUCCUCAAGAUAGACCGCAUGCUACAAGAAAAUGGAAGAAGACUCUAAAAACAAAACUAGCACAGGCAUCGCCAAGAUGGUAUAAAAGUGUGUUCUGUCAAGUAUGACAAAGAGCCCCAGAACCACACGGUGGAAGUAAAGAACCAACUCCUGCAACUUGUCCUGAGGAUACACCAUCCCCCAUCACAGUGUACUUGUGUGUGAUCACAAAUGUAAAAGAUAAAAAAAUCUACUGCUGAAUGAUGAAUGCAUUCAAAUAUGUAGAAACUUACCUAUCAAGUUUGGGGUUGUCUUGCCUUUCUCUUUGCUGUUCAAACCUCAAUUUUAAUCCUUUAAACGUCUGUACAUAAUCUACAUCUUCUAGUGCUUUCCAAUAAUUCUCAAUUACAUGGGCAGUUAAUGAUUUUAUAUCUUCCUACAGAAAAGAAUUAUAGCAAAAUAAAUCAGAUAUGAAAAAUUACUUUUUUAACAAAGUAAGAUUAGGCAUACUGUGGUAAUUCCUAAGACUCAUCAAAAGUUUAAUUUCACAGUUACUGUACAACUUUAAAGUAGUCAGACAAUAAAAGAGCUUUUGGUGCUCCUGGGAACUGUCCAAAGGUUAUUUCCAGAGUGUAUAUCCAAGUUCUAGUGAUUCUGGUUCCCCAAGAAUGGACACAGUGGCACACACCGCAAUACCAGUACUUUCAGAGCCGAGGCAGAACUGUCACGAGAUGAGUCCAACCUAAACUGUGCAGCAGGUGGACUUCUGUGGUGGCUGCACAGUAACAGAGAGCACCACCCUCAGAGAAUGCACUUUAGAAUGAUGAAAAAGGCAAGCACAGGUUUCUCUAUGAACCUCGGCUUUCCUAGAAAUCAUCUGUAGACCCAAGAGAUUUGACUGCCUCUGCCUCCUGAGUCCUGGGAUUAAAAGUGUGUGCCACCACUGCCCAUCUCCCAAGUUCUGUAUAUCUUUUUUUUUUUUUUUGGUUUUUUGAGACAGGGUUUCUCUGUAUAGCCCUGGCUGUCCUGGAACUCACUUUGUAGACCAGGCUGGCCUUGAAGUUCUGUAUCUCUUAUCACAAUUCUUUUUUUUUUGUUGUUGGUUGAGACAGGGUCUGAGAAGUAUUAGGAUUCCAGAUACAAGCCACCACCUUUAGCUCUAUAAAGCAUGCCAGAUAGUUUUGGGUUUUUAUUCGUCUAAAUUGAAUUACUUUUAGGAUUUUUGUAGCAUGGUUCUUAAAAUCUCUCCAAACACUCUAAAGACAAAAUACCAAUAACAGAUACUCAAGUUUCUCAGACAUAUUAAAACCAAAAUCCUAAGGUAAGAAGACAGAACCUACCACUCUAAUAAAUUCAAACAUUUCUAUUAUGGCGGAGUUCAUCAGAUUGUAACGAGAUCCGUUGUUGAGAAAUGCUUUGACUACAGGUUCAAAUAAAAAACUUUUCAUUA